rnacentral:lncRNA from 1 species
CUGGGAAGUUGUUGUCCCCACUGGGUGAUGCAAAUCUCAGCCUUAGCCUAGCAUGAUCCAGGGCUUGGGUGUCGGGGGACUCAUACCCGCGAAUUGCCAUGGACGGUACGUUUGUUUCUCUUUCGAACGUAGACUAAUAAAUGCCUUACGCCAGCAAGUGUUCCAAAUUCUAGGAAACAUGAGUAUAAUAAAUUGGUCUGGAGUCUUGAUCUUUCUUACAGAGCCGCCCUGCCUGACGUGCAUAAACUGGUGACAUGGGCAGACGCAAGAUAGAAAGAUUCCAUGAUCGGUGGGUGAUGUACGCAGGGAGCAUCAUCACAGACGGUUCAGAACGUACAGAUUGCCAAAGGCCUCGCUCAAUGAGCCAGGUGAGCUCAAGGUUCUCCUCUAUUACCAUUGAGGCCUGCAAGCAUAUUGUGCCAUACCUGAGCAUUUAAAGCUGUCCACAGGUCCAAGCAGCAGACCGCAGGAUCCAGAGUCGCAGGUGGACUGGUCUGCAGCGUCCAGGUGAGUCCUGCAUCACGUCUUUAUCAGCCUUGUCACUUCCUUAGACCAGAAGCAAGCGAUGCAUGCAUCCUUUUACAUUCUCCUCCUUCUCUGCAUGACCAGAAUGUCCAGACGAUCCUUCCUCUUGGCAGGCACCAGCAUGUGGCACCUAUUGCAGGGUGAAGGGGCAGCUUGUAGCGGUGGGGCCGCAGCUGGGAGGCUUGGCCGCAUCUGUCGCUGUCGCCACACUGUGGCUCACUCGAAGAGGGCGCAGCGCCGGGUCUGGCAGCGGAGGCGGCU